ensembl:misc_RNA Metazoa_SRP Metazoan signal recognition particle RNA
GCUGGGCAUGGUGGCUCAUGCCUGUAGUCCUAGCUACUCGGAAGUGUUGAGGUGGGAGAAUUGCUUGAGCCCAGGAGUUUGAGGCUCCAGUGAGCCAAGAUCACACCACUGUACUCCAGCCUGGGCAACAGAGCAAGACCUUGUCUCUA